AACGAACGCUGGCGGCAUGCCUAACACAUGCAAGUCGAACGAGAUCUUCGGGUCUAGUGGCGCACGGGUGCGUAACGCGUGGGAAUCUGCCCUUUGGUUCGGAAUAACAGUUGGAAACGACUGCUAAUACCGGAUGAUGACGAAAGUCCAAAGAUUUAUCGCCAGAGGAUGAGCCCGCGUAGGAUUAGCUAGUUGGGGUGGUAAAGGCGCACCAAGGCGACGAUCCUUAGCUGGUCUGAGAGGAUGAUCAGCCACACUGGGACUGAGACAUGGCCCAGACUCCUACGGGAGGCAGCAGUGGGGAAUAUUGGACAAUGGGCGAAAGCCUGAUCCAGCAAUGCCGCGUGAGUGAUGAAGGCCUUAGGGUUGUAAAGCUCUUUUACCCGGGAUGAUAAUGACAGUACCGGGAGAAUAAGCUCCGGCUAACUCCGUGCCAGCCGCCGCAGUAA
rnacentral:rRNA from 1 species